ACCAUGGCAGCGGCUGCAGCACCGGCGGCCGGGCGCUGGAGCUGGAGUCAGGGCGGGGGCAGGUGUGGGGGCUGUGGGCGGCGGAGGCGGGAGCCGUGAAUGGGGAUGAGACAGUGAGGACUGAGGUGACAAUCCCAAGCUCCAGGGUUGUGCCUGGAAUUUAAGGACUGAGGCGGCAAGUUGGCUGCGUAGGAGACGGGCUGGGCUGCGGGGCCCAGGGGCUCCUUGGGCAAAGCCAGCAUCGGGAUAUGGGUGAACAGUCGUUGCUGUGGCAUGCCUUACCCAGCCAGACUUCAUCUUUAUUUCUUAAUCUGGGCUAGCUGCCAUCCCCUGAAAGCCCUCACCGCACCAUUGUUGUUGCUCACUAUUCCUGAGACUAGAUUACUGUGGGGUCUGAAUCAAGAGAUCCUUUCCCAUAAGGAAGAGGAAGGAGAGUGAUGAACUUAAGAGGCUAAAGGAAAACAGCUGGACUCUGAGCCAGUUAAGUUGGAACUUGAAAGACGGAGAGUGGAAACCUAAUAUUCAGAAGUGUGGUUUGAGGAAGUGUGCCUAGAUGAGUAGGGAUUUUAGUAUCCCAAGGAAAGGUGAAGGACU
rnacentral:lncRNA from 1 species